rnacentral:lncRNA from 1 species
UUGGAAUCACAGACAGCUUGCCCCUGCCUCUUGCGAUUGCCUCUGCAGCAAUCUGCAGGCAGAGAGAGCGAGGAAAAGUACUUUCACAGGCCAUGCCUAAUGCUUCCCCAGCAAGAAGGGAGGCAAAGAAAGAUUUUUAGGGAACCAGAGGCAUUGUUGCCUUUGGGCUCACAGGGCGUCGGCCCCGCGUAGAUUAGCUUGAGCCCCGGAUCUAUUUUCUCCAACAGGCACAUGAGCAGACAGCCUGUUUGCAGAGGAGGCGGAGCUAAGCUGGGAAGAGCUAGCUGCAGCCUGUAGCUCAGUCACUAGCAGGGAGAGAAGAGGGAACUUUAAAUCCUCUCUCCCCUGCCGCACCAGCUCAGCCAUGCAGCACUGCAGCUGACUCCUCUGCACCCUGCUUUAUCUAGGAGCAGCUUCUUCUACACAAUACCACUGAUCAGCUGGAAGCUCUUACUCCUGGCCUUUGUCAUUGGUAUUGGUGAGUCUUUCCAGUCUGGGUUACAAAUCUAUAUCAUCAACUCUCCUGCUGAGGGCCUUAGCAAGGACGAGGAACAGUCAAGCUUUUAAUAGGAAAUGGCCAGCUGCCUUUCAGACCUGGUUGUUCCAGGAGCAAAGAGGAAGUACAACGCUACCAUCUGCAACAACCCUUCC